rnacentral:lncRNA from 1 species
UGGAAGUGGCGAAGCGGCGGCAGCAGCAGCGGCAGCGACGAGCCCCGCGGUGAUCCCGGGGAGAGGGUGUGAUGGCGCUGUACAGAGCGGUCUCGGAGCUCAGGGACCCCCAGCUCACAGCCCCAGCCCCAGCCGGAACCCGGAAGCCCGCAACAACCAAUCAGGAGCGGAGGGGGCGUGGCCAGGAGUCACGCGGAGAUUUAAACGCGGCAAGAGCAGGCCCUCAGCCGCUCGGCGAAGCAGCGGCAGCACCGACAGCGGCAGCGGCGGCAACGACAACGACGAGCCCCGCGGUGAUCCCGGGGAGAGGGUGUGAUGGCGCUGUACAGAGGGGUCUCCGAGCUCCGGGACCCCCAGCUCACAGCCCCAGCCCCAGCCGGAACCCGGAAGCCCGCAACAACCAAUCAGGAGCGGAGGGGGCGUGGCCAGGAGUCACGCGGAGAUUUAAACGCGGCAAGAGCAGGCCCUCAGGCGCUCGGCGAAGCGGCGGCAGCACCGGCAGCGCCAACGCCAACGCCGAGCCCCGAGGUGAGCCCGGGAGAGGGUGGGAUGGCGCUGUACAGAGGGGUUUCCGAGCUCAGGGACCCCCAGCUCACAGCCGCAGCCGGAACCCGGAAGCCCGCAACAACCAAUCAGGAGCGGAGGGGGCGUGGCCAGGAGUCACGCGGAGAUUUAAACGCGGCAGGAGCAGGCCCUCAGGCGCGCGGCGAAGCGGCGGCAGCAGCGUCACAGGAGUGCGGCGCGUGACAGGUGAGUUGAGGCAGGAGGCGGUGACCGGAGAGGCCCGGCCUUCUCAAUAACGAGCGCUGAGCAGUGUGCGCAACUUCAUAUAUCCAAAAAAAAAAGAAAAGAUGAUGAAUAGAGGUCCCGAUCUGGCUGUGUAUUUGUGGCAUUGCAUUGCUGAUGAAAAGCGUCUGUAGUUGGUUUACACAGGUUCACAGUGUAUGGACAAUGGAACAGGAGGGCAGUAGGAAGGAGGAGCCAAGUCCCACCGUAUCCCUUUGCUCUC